AUGGUUUUAAUGGGUUAUUUUUUAAAAUGCUGGCACAUUAUUUGUCAAGAUUUUUAUGAUCUGGCUGAAGCUUUCCAUAGUGGCAUAGCAAAUCUGGAAAAUAUAAAUGGUUCCUAUAUCACACUCAUCCCCAAGAAGUUGGCUCCUGAAGGUGUUGGAGAUUAUAGACCAAUUUCCUUGACUGGGAUGGGCCUCAAAUUCUUAUCCAAGAUGGCUGCCAAUAGGUUUCAGAGGAUAAUUAUGAAAUGUAUACAUAAGAACCAAUAUGGUUUCAUCAAAAGCAGGACCAUCCAGGACUGUAUUGGCUGGUCACUUGAAUAUUUGCAUCAAUGCCAUCAGUCAAAGAGACCUAUUGUUAUUCUCAAAUUGGAUUUUGAGAAAGCCUUUGAUUCCAUUGAGCAUGAAACUAUUCUUUUAAUUCUGAAGCAUAAGGGUUUUUAUCAUAAAUGGAUUUCUUGGGUCAAGCAGUUGCUAUCAACUGGAACAUCUUCUGUUCUUUUGAAUGGAGUACCUGGCAGACAGUUCCUAUGCAAAAAGGGAGUUAGACAAGGGGAUUGUCUUUCACCCUUACUUUUUGUGAUUGCUGCAGACUUGUUACAAUCAGUUGUGAAUGAUAUGUUCAAAAAGGGAAUUUUAAAGAUGCCUAUCCCAUGUCAUGACCAAGACUAUCCUAUAGUCCAAUAUGCUGAUGAUACCCUUAUCAUCUUACUAGCAGACAAACCUCAACUUUUGGCUCUUAAAGGAAUGCUGCAAGUUUUCUCCACUUCUACUGGUCUAGUAGUGAACUAUCAUAAAUCUUCCAUGGUGCCAAUUAAUGUUGAUGACAGUACUACUUCUGCACUAGCUACUGCUUUUGGAUGUUAG
rnacentral:rRNA from 1 species